GACAGCAGUCGCCGCGGGAAUACGAAGGGUGCAAGCGUUACUCGGAAUUACUGGGCGUAAAGCGUGCGUAGGUGGUGGUUUAAGUCCGUUGUGAAAGCCCUGGGCUCAACCUGGGAAUUGCAGUGGAUACUGGGUCACUAGAGUGUGGUAGAGGAUAGUGGAAUUUCCGGUGUAGCAGUGAAAUGCGUAGAGAUCGGAAGGAACAUCUGUGGCGAAGGCGACUAUCUGGGCCAACACUGACACUGAGGCACGAAAGCGUGGGGAGCAAACAGGAUUAGAUACCCGCGUAGUCCCUGUCUCUUAUAC
rnacentral:rRNA from 1 species